rnacentral:rRNA from 1 species
AGCAGCCGCGGUAAUUCCAGCUCCAAUAGCGUAUAUUAAAGUUGUUGCAGUUAAAAAGCUCGUAGUUGAAUUUCGGGAUCAAUUUAUUGGUCGUGCUAUUGUACGUACUGGUAUUAUUGAUUCCUACCUUCUGACGAACCAUGAUGUCAUUAAUUUGGUGUCUUGGGGAAUCAGGACUGUUACUUUGAAAAAAUUAGAGUGUUUAAAGCAGGCUCACGCUUGAAUACAUUAGCAUGGAAUAACGAAAUAGGACGUUUGAUUCUAUUUUGUUGGUUUCUAGGAUCGACGUAAUGAUUAAUAGGGAUAGUUGGGGGCAUUAGUAUUCAAUUGUCAGAGGUGAAAUUCUUGGAUUUAUUGAAGACUAACUACUGCGAAAGCAUUUGCCAAGGAUGUUUUCAUUAAUCAAGAACGAAAGUUAGGGGAUCGAAGACGAUCAGAUACCGUCGUAGUCUUAACCAUAAACUAUGCCGACUAGGGAUCGGAUGAUGUUAAUUUUUAAUGACUCAUUCGGCGCCUUACG